UACGGAGGGUGCAAGCGUUAUCCGGAUUCACUGGGUUUAAAGGGUGCGUAGGUGGGCAGGUAAGUCAGUGGUGAAAUCUUUGGGCUUAACCCGAAAACUGCCAUUGAUACUAUUUGUCUUGAAUAUUGUGGAGGUCAGCGGAAUAUGUCAUGUAGCGGUGAAAUGCGCAGAUAUCGGGAGGAACACCAGUAGCGAAGGCGGCACUCUGGGCCGGUACUGACGCUGAGGAGCGAAAGCGUGGGGAGCAAACAGG
rnacentral:rRNA from 1 species